CGGCAACAGCUCAAAUUUGAAAUCUGGCCCCAGGCCCGAGUUGUAAUUUGCAGAGGAGAUCUUCUGGCGCGGCGCCUUCCGAGUUCCCUGGAACGGGACGCCACAGAGGGUGAGAGCCCCGUAUGGUCGGCCGCCAAGCCUGUGUGAAGCUCCUUCGA
rnacentral:rRNA from 1 species